rnacentral:lncRNA from 1 species
GAAGAUGGAUAUUAUGAAAAUAAAGUUAAGGAAGAGAUAGGUUUACAAGGAUAAGUAAGUAAGUAAAACAUCAAGGGGAUAAAUGAACAGGGGAUGAGAGGGCAGCAAUAUCACUAAAAAAUCAAGGAGGUGUAUUGCCUAAAACAGGUAAAAUCAUUCAUCAAGAAGGAGAAGCAUAAUCAAGAUCAAGUAGUGAUCAAGGAGAGAGGAAAUAAAUAGACAGGGAUUGAGGGUCUAACAUUUGCAAAACAAGAAGUGCAAAUGAAAAGGGCUCGAGGGAUCAAGGAGGAUUGAGAAAAGAAAGUGAUCAAGGAGUGAAGAUAUUUAUCAGAAAGGUCAAGGAUAAGGCAAGAAUAGAUUUUAUAUCAAAAGAAACUUUAGGAAACGACCAUUGCUAUCUAGACUGAAGUCCUACAGUCGAUACAACUCUGAUACACUUCUAUCACACCCGGUUUUAAAACAAAACCAAGUGCUACCUAUCUGUAUGCCAGGAUCAAAUUUCAUACAUAUAGUGACAUCAUUAGUGAAUAACAGCAACAAUAUCACGUAAAGGAAAACAAUUAAAGACUUACAAGACUAUCAGAGAUAUACCGCUUAAUCCCAGAAACGAAGGCCC